UCCCGCCCUCCAUCCCGCUGACCCGGGGCGGGGGAGGCACAAGUUUUCAUGGGCGUCUUUCAUGUCCCCUUCCUUUCUUGGGAGAGGUGGCUCUGGGGACAACCAAGGACUCCGGGAGUGAAAAGAGACCCCUGGAAGACACGGAAGGACUUUCAGGCUGUCCCCCUCCUUUCAUUAUCCUGUGUCUGUUCCCGCGGGGAGGAGAAGCGAUGGCUCCUCGGACCAGGAAACUUCUGAAGAUCACUUGGCAAGAUAAGGUGCCAGACACUGAGGUCUUCUUUCCAACGAAACUGCCAGGCAUUCAAAUUCUCCUAUAGAAAGCAGAAAUCCUGAUGGGCUGGCUGAAUGCCAAAGACACAAAAGACUCUUUUAUGGAGAACUCAAACAAGGCAAGUGCUGAAAUGGAGGUCAGAAGAAACAGUACAAGAACACUCCAGAUAUCGAUAAUCAUGAUGACAGCUGCAGAGGUGAGAUCAUGUUGGUACUGGAAUCAAGAAGACCUGGAUUCACAUCCUACUUACCAUCUUUUCUGUUUUGGUGAAUUUGGGCAAGUCACUUUAACCUCUACUAUAGCUGCAUUAGGCAAUUC
rnacentral:lncRNA from 1 species